CACAAAAGGGCAGAGGAGUUCAAGUCAAAGGGCUUGAUGAUAUUCUCUUGAUUAGCGGUGGUUGUAAAGUUAUAACUUGUUUCUACCUCUGAUAAAGGUAAAAGAGUAUCUUUGAAAGGAAGUUCUGAAGUGGCAGACAUGGUAUUGUUGUGAUGUCUAUGAAAAUGAGGGAAAAUCAACAGUUUUGAGUGCAAGUUGCCGGCGUAUUUCUAGUUACUUUGUUGGGUUCCUAGAGCAGCAAAAAAUAAAAUAAAUCAGCUUGUUGUGCUGUGGAUAUUCCAUUAUUUGGUGCUUUGAGCUUUUGAUGUACUUGCCAUAUAUGCUGACCUCAUUAUUCUCU